UCCCAUAGUAUCCCCACAGAAUGCAUUAAAAAAACCUUAAGAAGGCCCACUGCUCUCUUCACCCUAGUUCUCCUCUUGGCUAGCAGGAAAAUAAGCCUGGGAUUUGGGGACCUGCUGCCCAUCAGAUGAAAGUCCCUACUAUUAUGAGGAUGAGCUAUAGAGCCUAACCCAUCCGUGCCUCUUCCCUACCUUCUAGAAGAGAAAACUGCUAAGUUUGAGCAAUAAACUGCUGCAAUUGGUUACAACUUUCUGAAUUUUAUUUUUACAGUGAAAUGUUGCAAAAAGCAAAAAUCUUGAGAAGCACACUUCAAAUCAUCCCCAAACCAAGUGUGACUGCAGUACUUCACUCUCUUUUCUAUGGAAUUUGCUGUAAAGCUUGAAGAUAGCUUCCUGAAAGGUUACACCACUGCCGGAUAUGGGAAAGAUCCUACAAGAAACAAUCAUAAACUGGUUUUUGGCACCAUUUACUUGUUUCUCCAGAGCAAUAAAAAAGAAACUUAAGAAAAUGGGGAAACUACGUUUUGAUCCCAAAGCGCCACUGCUUGGUUUUGUCAAGGUUUAAUCAGAACAUGGUGCUAAGCACUCAUUUAAAGAAUGCACAAGAGCAUGGCUUGAGAAAUACACAGUGCACAAAGCAUGAGGUGGUAGUUCCCAGAUACACUGUACAUUGAGAAAAGCCUGUGCAGUGUCACAGCCGGCUGUGUUUUCACAAUGCUACUGCAAAUACUGUCAAAGUAGUACGUGGGAAGCAAUAGCUGGAGCAGAGAGAUCGUCUCCUGCCUGGGUUCUCUUCUUGACCUACUGACAUCCCAUUGUGAGACUUAAUGAUUCCCUGCUGAAUGUUUGGUGCUUUUUCUUUUCAGUGAUGACUAGUGGUUUGAUAAAUCGUAAUAUGUGAAAGCUCGGCUGGAGACAUAUUGCAGCAUACUGGGGUUUUAAAAGGUUCUUUGCACCCCAUGUUGGAAAACAUGGACUCCUGAAGGCAUCUCAGAGAAACUGGUCCUAAAGUAUGCUAAAGUCCUUAAAUUAAAUGGCGCUAUGAGGAACCAGAUGUUAUUAUAUAUUCUAUUCUAUUCUGUUCUGUUCUAUUCUGUUCUAUUCAAUUCUAAUAGUUCAACUGCCUCAAUCUAUUCACAGUAACAGUUCUUAUGUACAGGAUUUGCCAAUGCA